rnacentral:lncRNA from 1 species
CCGCCGCCGCCGUCCUCUUCGUCGCCGGCCAUCAUCGUUCGUCGUUUGUCAUUGUGGUGAGUACCGUUGGGUUCGCCUCGUCGUCCUCUACGCGUAGGUGUCCUCCAAUCACCCGGCCAAGGUCCCUAGCUCCGGCGAGGUCGCCAACCCUAGCCGGCCUCCGUGGGUGAUGUCAUGCUGACAUCAUCAUCCUUUCUUUUUUUUCCUUUUUUCUAAUAGAUGAAAUCUUCGGAAAAUCAUAACUAAAUAACCAUAGAUCCGUUUCAGGUGGUUCAAGUUGCUAAAUUUUUCUAAAAUAAAGAUCUACAUAUUAAAAUUGUCCAUAAAUUGAAUUAAAUUUAUUUAAGUCUUUUUAAAUGGACUUUAAUUAGAUUUAAUCUUGUAAAAUUCAUAAUAAAUUCAUUUGAAGUCGGAAUGAGGCCGUUCAAGUCUCAUAAUUCAUCUAAAAUUAUGAUCUACAUGUUUGUUUACUUUUUAUGUAUUGUUUAUUUGGUUUUUAUUAGUCUUUUUCUUCGUUUUGCGUGUUAGCUUGUCGUUUCCGUCGUUGCGAAGGUUCGUGAGUGCGUCGGAAGUGAUCAAGAAGGUUAAUUGAAGAUCGAUUAUUGCAAGGCAAGUCACACAGAUCCUAAACACAAUCCUUUGAGCAUGUUGAUCCUAUAUUUAAAUUCUCUAUUUAUUUCAACUGUGCAUUUAUUUUCGAAUGUCACCGGGUGGUGUGAACCUAUUCCUUUGUUAUGGCCAAUUUGCAUUGAAUGCCCUAUUCCUUGAUACCUUGGGUAAUAAAUUGAUUAGCUUGAACCUUAUGUAUUGGUUUGGUUCAGCUAAAAGUUAUAUAUAUAAUUGCUUAGCAAUGCUUAGAAACAUUAGCUCACUAAUGGGAUGAAUCAUAUAUACUACAUUAUUAUUUAUGGUUAUAUUUAAUGGUAGCUCACGAUGGUUAAUCGUGUGAUGUUAAUUAAUUGAUAAUUAAAACCUGGUUAAGGUGGGUUGUGAGCAUAUGGUUUUGAUGGUUGUGCUCAUGACAAUUAAGGACCGGUUCGCGAGCUACUGUUGUGAGACAUUAACCGUACCAACCACAAGCCAGCGUGGGCAACGGCUUUAUCCUUUGUAUAGCAUGGUUCAUUAUAGUGCGCCAGACUGAGAAGUGGCGAGAAGUCCACGGGGGUCGCUGGGGAGUCCAUGCCUUGUUUAUAAGGGGGUGAUUAUGAUCCAGGAACGGUGCACUGUUUUGAGUUGUGUUGUGCAAAGGGUAUUGUCACGAUUUCCCCCUUUGCAAUGCCGUGGUGGUAUUUCGGGGCAUGGCAACAUGUGUGGAAUCGUGUCUUGUGGGUACAGUGGUACACCUCUGGCCAGAGUAAAACUAUUCGAAUAGCCGUGCCCGCGGUUAUGGGCGGGUUGAGCAAUGUUUUUCGUGAUUAGUCUCACACCUCUCACAAUAAUUAUGGAUGUUAUAUCUGGUAAUAAUUUGUUUAGCUCCUGGUUUGGAGUUAGAUCUGUACAGCCGGGUAUGGUUGUUCAGGAUGGUUGGGCCUGUGCAGCAUGGGUGUGCUGUUCAGUGUUGAUUAAAAUUUCUGAUUAAUUACUCCACUGUUUUACUCCUCUUAAAUGUUUUGCUAAAUGCUGCUUUUGCAAAUGAGCCUAUAUUAUGCCAUCCUUUGGUAUCCUUGUGCACUUGCAUAUUUGCUGUGUGGCUUGUUGAGUAUGUCAUAUGCUCAUUCUUGCAAUAAUCAAUCAACCUCAGUUGAAGAAAAAGGAUCCAGAAGGAGAAGACGUUUGGCUUAUACCCCAGUUGAGCUGCCUGUGGGAGUGGAGCCGGAGCUUCGCUAGACCGUAAUUCCGCUGCAGUUUUCUUUUCUUUUGAAAGUAUGUAACACUAUUAUUGAUGGAUUUGUAUAUUAAAUUGUCAGUUUGUGUACCUCGGCUGAUUCCUGGACGAGGAUUUUAUGCACAAAUUAGUUCGGAAAUUAUUAGUGAAUUUCCGGGCGUGACAAGUUGGUCAAAAAUAAAUGCACAGUUGAAAUAAAUAGAGAAUUUAAAUAUAGGAUCAACAUGCUCAAAGGAUUGUGUUUAGGAUCUGUG